rnacentral:lncRNA from 1 species
GGGGUCCCUUUUUAUAGGUAGGGGGAGCAACGGAUUGAUAGCGAUUGUUUGUAACCGCCUCGUCGUGGGCCGUACGGGGCCAGGAGGAAUUAGUUGUGAAGAGUAGUGGAGUGGAAUCGUGGCCAUCAGCGGGACAUGCCACGUGGAGUCCGUUGCGGGAAGUGGAGCGGCGCCCGUUGUCGCGACUUGCCAGAGGGUGGAGGACCUACG